AUGGAAUUGAUGCAUCUUAGUGGCGGACGGGUGAGUAACGUGUGGGCAACCUGCCCUUUACAGGGGAAUAAUCAUUGGAAACGAUGACUAAUACCGCAUGUCAACACGAGGAGGCAUCUUCUUGUGAGAAAAGGAGAAAUCCGGUAAAGGAUGGGCCCGCAUCUGAUUAGCUAGUUGGUGAGAUAAUAGCCCACCAAGGCGACGAUCAGUAGCCGACCUGAGAGGGUGAUCGGCCACAUUGGGACUGAGACACGACCCAAACUCC
rnacentral:rRNA from 1 species